rnacentral:rRNA from 1 species
UACGGAGGGUGCGAGCGUUGUCCGGAAUCACUGGGCGUAAAGGGUGCGUAGGCGGCGCGGUAAGUCGGGUGUGAAAUCUCGGAGCUUAACUCCGAAACUGCAUUCGAUACUGCCGUGCUUGAGGACUGGAGAGGAGACUGGAAUUUACGGUGUAGCGGUGAAAUGCGUAGAUAUCGUAAGGAAGACCAGUGGCGAAGGCGGGUCUCUGGACAGUUCCUGACGCUGAGGCACGAAGGCCAGGGGGAGCAAAACGGGG